UAAACAUCUGGAGUGGUAGCAUGUGGGAAUGUUCCUCUUGAGUCAUCCUUCCAAAAGUUCCAAGAUGUGCUUAUACAUCAACUAGUUUAUAUGAGUAUCGAGGAUGGGAUUCCAAAGCUGCCAAUCCUACACAUCGUCGUUUUACGUGGGGACUCAGAUUGUUGGAAAGGCGGUCAGUUGACUUCUAUAUCUCAGAUUUCCAGUCAGGGUUGAGAGCAUUAGUUAAAACAGGGAAUGGAGCAUCAGUGACUCCUUAUGUGGAUGACUCGAUUGUUAUAGAUGUCAACCCAGCCAGCGCUACAUUGUCUCCAGAAUUCAUCAAGUGGCUGGGAGAAAGGAACCUUUAAAGUGAUGACCGUUUAAUGCGAUUGAAAGAAGGAUAUAUCGAGGGAAGCACAGUUAGUGUCAUGGGAGUCGUUCAGAGAAAUGACAAUGUUCUUAUGAUUGUUCCUCCGCCUGAACUGACUACAACUGGAUGCCAAUGGGCCAAAUGUAUCUUCCCAGAUAGCCUUGAGGGUGUCAUAUUGAGAUGUGAAGACACAUCAAAUAAUGACGCCAUACCUGUUUAGAACCAUGUGCAUUGUAAACUAUUUUUAAUCUACAACACAAAUUAUUAUCUUCUUUUCUCUUCAUAUUAUUCCAUUAAUAUUUUGGGGGAUUUGGUAAGGACAAGCGAUGAACAUGAAAGAGGCUGGUGGUGUUUCUUAUCCUUUUAA